rnacentral:miRNA from 1 species
CCAGUAGCACCUUAGAGACCAACUAAGUUUGUUCUGGGUAUAAGCUUUCGUGUGCAUGCACAUUUCUUCAGAUACCAAGCUUAUACCCAGAACAAAUUUAGUUGGCCUCUAAGGUGCUGCUGG